ensembl:snoRNA
UCUCUCUUAGCCUUGCUGGGUCACAACGGGUCAAAUGUGUGCUUGGUAUCUUUUGAAGAGAGAGAGUGAGGAAAGUCCUCCCAAUGCGUGGCAGACCUGUCCCACAGUGGCCUUUCUGAUGCUAGAAAUAUAACAGGU